rnacentral:rRNA from 1 species
AGCAGUCGCCGCGGUAAUACGUAGGGUGCGAGCGUUAAUCGGAAUUACUGGGCGUAAAGCGUGCGCAGGCGGCUUUGCAAGACAGAUGUGAAAUCCCCGGGCUCAACCUGGGAACUGCAUUUGUGACUGCAAGGCUAGAGUACGGUAGAGGGGGAUGGAAUUCCGCGUGUAGCAGUGAAAUGCGUAGAUAUGCGGAGGAACACCAAUGGCGAAGGCAAUCCCCUGGACCUGUACUGACGCUCAUGCACGAAAGCGUGGGGAGCAAACAGGAUUAGAUACCCGCGUAGUCCCUGUCUCUUAUAC